CACAAGACUCCGCACGUGUCGGGAGCCGUUGGGAGAAGGUUCGCCCAAUCCGCUGCACCUGGACGGUCAACGUCACGAUUUGCGGCCAACAUCGCUUUUCAGGAGCGUAUUCACCAAAUUCUCCAAGAGGCGGACCUGACAAGAGAGAUCGGGCACGAUCGGGUAUCCUUGCGAAAAGGCACUGAAUCUAAACCACCCGCGAAUAAGCUCCAGAUCGAACUACUCGGCGGUUGGUGUAUCGCACCAAACAAGCCCCUUCACAGGGUAAAGAAAUAAUCCACAGUUAGGAUGAACAACACUUAACCUAAACACCCCACAGGGCUGAAAACAAACUGCGGCAAUUCAUCGCACACACGGCGUUAGACAUCAAGUCACGCACGGAACCCACGGUGCGAGCGAAUCGGCACAACCAGGCGCUUAGGCAUAGGCGAAUCACUUCAUCCGCAGAGCCAUCGGGAGUUCUCCAGACGCAGGUCACGAGACGAUAUCGAGAGUGGCAGCUACGAGAGUUAACGGCCUCGGCGAUUCGAGGGAACAUAUACCCACCGUUCGAUGAGGACGAUGGCGGAGUGUAAGCUGCCCGGCAUAUCGCUUGGAGACCACCAUUGGUGAGGCACACUGGCACACGGUUGCUGAGGCAGUCACAAGGUCGGUGAGCUACGAAUACCUUAAGUUAAGCUAUAUGAACUAGAGUUAAGAAAAAGUAGGGGAAGGUAGGAUCUUUGAAAAUAAGAGAAAUAAAAAAAAUGUAAUGACAAAUUAAGUUUGGGCUGCAGUUCGUUGAUUCUGUCAUUCUUGCAUCCCUGAUUGCAAUUAACAUUUCAAAAGUGAUUGGUCUCGGAACCACCACAAUCGAUAGGUUUUACGACAUACAUCUGCUUGAAAGGGACUUUAAAACCAUUUUUUUGGCACCGGCUACACAAGAGUAUGGCGAAGUUAC